rnacentral:rRNA from 1 species
GGGCAUUCUUGGUCUCAAGCACACUACAUAAUUUUACAGAAUUCUACAUUGGUGACCCCUUAUGUCAAUGAACACAAGAAUAUUCUGCGCUCCAAACACCCGGAGCAGUGUGACGACUGGAUUACAUGUGAACACAUCAGGACUUUCGGCAGUUGGUUGCGAACACAUCUCAUGGGUGACAACGCUGUUUCUGAUGAGCUGUACUCGUUGGCCAGGGGACCAUCUUCGACGGUAAUGACUUACAAAGGGUACGAGAUAAAUGAGAAUACAUUUUACAUGAUCGCCAAAGAUCAAAAGAGCACCAACCAAAACAGUGGUGUCCGCUUUGAUGCAGCAACCAAGAGGGGAAAGGACACAUAUUAUGGUUACAUAGUGGACAUAAGGGAACUUGACUAUGGACAUGAUUUUAUGGUCCCUUUGUUUCAGUGCAAAUGGGUCAAUCUGUCAGGAGGCGGGGUACAGGUAGACCCACAGUGCGAAAUGACAACAGUGGAUCUGAACAAUCUUGGGGACACAGACGAACCAUUCGUCCUAUCUAAUGAUGUGGCGCGGGUUUUCUAUGUGAAGGACAUGUCUACCAAACCGAGAAAAAGAAAAGAUAAGGAAGCGAAUACAUCAUAUGAUGAGCCAAAGCGUCACAUAGUUCUUUCAGGAAAAAGAGACAUCAUGGGAGUGGAGGGAAAGACAGACAUGUCUCAAGAUUAUGAAAAGUUUCAUGAUAUUCCUCCCUUCAAAGUGAAGGCUGACCCAAGCACCCUGUUAAAUGAUGAAGAUUAUCCAUGGUUACGGCGCAAUAAGCAAAGGGCACAAGCGAAGAAAAAGUGA